AUGUACAAGCAGAGCAUAGAGAUGAGGACUACCUGGAUUAUAUCGGUUCUUCUCUCAGGUUUUGUGUCUUCUUGGAACAUCUCCCAGUGGCCAGAUUCGGUUCAUGUCUAUGAAGGAGAUCCCGUCGUCCUUCACUGCUCUUUUUCCCAUCCUGCAGUAUCUGCUGCUACCUUCUGGUGGUCUUGGAAGCAUGUGGUUAUCUAUGAGUUCAAGACCAUACAAGGCGUUGUGGAGAAAAACAUAACAGACCUGUCUGACCCUCGGAUGUCCCUCAAAACUGAUUUGUCAGGAAAUAGCUAUAUAACUAUCAGUAAUGUGACUCCUGAGGACAGUGCUCUUUAUAUCUGUGCGAUGACAAUCUAUAGCCCUCUUCCUGUAACCAACAGAAAAGGUAAUGGGACCCUGGUCAUUGUGGUGAAAGGUCCCAUCACAGGUCAGUGUCAAUCCAGUUUUAAUCUCCUAUCUAUCAACCUUUCACUGUCCUAGAUUAC